AAUAAGUGUAGUUUUACACUAUUUACGUUUAACAUUUGACCAUUCGUCUUAUUUGAAAAUUUUUUAUGAUUAGUAUUUUUAUUGCUAUUAGAUGAUAAAACAUGAAUAGUACUCUAUGUGUGACUAAAUAUUUUCAAAUUUUUCACAAAUUUUUCAAAUAAGACAGACGGUCAAACGUUGGGUACGGAUAUCCACGGCUGCACUUAUU
rnacentral:pre_miRNA from 1 species